CCUUGGUGUGUUGUUUAUUAGCUCGGCAACCUCAGCAGGACACUUAGCCUCCCUUAGCCUUUGUGUUAUCUGCAACAUGAGGGCCCAGAAGAGGAAGACAUGCUUCGGAUUUCAGCCCUCUUUCUAGCUUUCCUGGCUCCUGACAGAAACUUUGGUCCAGAAUUCUCCCCCAAGCCCACUAUUUUUCUUCCUUCAACGGCUGAAAUAAACCUCCAAAAGGCUGGAACAUAUCUUUGUCUUCUUGAGAAUUUUUUCCCUGAUGUUAUUAAGGUACAUUGGAAGGAAAAGAACAGCAAUACGAUUCUGGAAUCCCAGCAGGGAACUACCAUGAAGACUAACGACACAUACAUGAAAUUCAGCUGGCUGACCCUGAAUGCAAACUCAAUGAAUAAAGAGCACAAAUGUGUAGUCAGACACGAGAAUAAUGUAAAUGGAGUUGAUCAAGAGAUUCUUUUUCCUUCAAUGAAGAAAGAGGUUGAUGGUAAUAAUCCUACAGAAAAAGCUUGUUUGAAAGAUCAAAGUGGUACACUGCAGCUGCAGCUCAUCAACACCUCUGCCUACUACACCUACCUCCUCCUCCUGCUCAAGAGUGUCGUCUACUUUGCCAUCGUCGCCUUCUGUCUGUCUAAGAGAACAGCAGUCUGCUGCGACGGAAAGAGUCAGUAACAGAUGGUAGCACAAAGGGGUCAAUUCUUCUUCGUUUAUUGUCCCUGACAGAGUUUGCUGAGGAUCUAGCUGGGAAUCCUUUCUGGGCUUGGUGUAUUUCAGUUCACAUGUGCAUUUUUCUAUGAUGCCAUUAUUGCAUAACAGUUUUGCAAACUACUCACACAGAAAAUUCCAUCUGUAAAAAUAACUAAUCCCGCCAUUACUCAGGAGGAGGGCCAAGGGGUAGCCUUUAGAACCACUCUCUCCAGAGUCUCUGUCGGCAGCUACAGCCACCCACAUUGU